rnacentral:rRNA from 1 species
AGUUUGAUCCUGGCUCAGAACGAACGCUGGCGGCAGGCCUAAUACAUGCAAGUCGAGCGCAUCCUUCGGGAUGAGCGGCGGACGGGUGAGUAACGCGUGGGAAUAUGCCCUUCUCUAAGGAAUAGCCUCUGGAAACGGAGAGUAAUACCUUAUACGCCCUUCGGGGGAAAGAUUUAUCGGAGAAGGAUUAGCCCGCGUUAGAUUAGGUAGUUGGUGGGGUAAUGGCCUACCAAGCCUACGAUCUAUAGCUGGUUUGAGAGGAUGAUCAGCCACACUGGGACUGAGACACGGCCCAGACUCCUACGGGAGGCAGCAGUAGGGAAUCUUAGACAAUGGGGGAAACCCUGAUCUAGCCAUGCCGCGUGUGUGAUGAAGGCCUUAGGGUCGUAAAGCACUUUCGCCAGAGAUGAUAAUGACAGUAUCUGGUAAAGAAACCCCGGCUAACUCCGUGCCAGCAGCCGCGGUAAUACGGAGGGGGUUAGCGUUGUUCGGAAUUACUGGGCGUAAAGCGCACGUAGGCGGAUUAGUAAGUUAGAGGUGAAAUCCCAGGGCUCAACCCUGGAACUGCCUUUAAUACUGCUAGUCUUGAGUUCGAGAGAGGUAAGUGGAAUUCCAAGUGUAGAGGUGAAAUUCGUAGAUAUUUGGAGGAACACCAGUGGCGAAGGCGGCUUACUGGCUCGAUACUGACGCUGAGGUGCGAAAGUGUGGGGAGCAAACAGGAUUAGAUACCCUGGU